GAUGAGCGCUAGCUACAGGCUUAACACAUGCAAGUCGAGGGGAAACGAUAUUGGAAGCUUGCUUCCGAUAGGCGUCGACCGGCGCACGGGUGAGUGACGCGUAUCCAACCUGCCCACCACUUGGGGAUAACCUUGCGAAAGUAAGACUAAUACCCAAUGACGUCUCUAGAAGACAUCUGAAAGGGAUUAAAGAUUUAUCGGUGAUGGAUGGGGAUGCGUCUGAUUAGCUUGUUGGCGGGGUAACGGCCCACCAAGGCUACGAUCAGUAGGGGUUCUGAGAGGAAGGUCCCCCACAUUGGAACUGAGACACGGUCCAAACUCCUACGGGAGGCAGCAGUGAGGAAUAUUGGUCAAUGGACGAGAGUCUGAACCAGCCAAGUAGCGUGCAGGAUGACGGCCCUAUGGGUUGUAAACUGCUUUUAUAAGGGAAUAAAGUGAGUCUCGUGAGACUUUUUGCAUGUACCUUAUGAAUAAAGACCGGCUAAUUCCGUGCCAGCCGCCGCGGUAA
rnacentral:rRNA from 1 species